UGCCUUUUUAACCUUUCGUUAUAGUAAAGAGAUUUUUUAUUUUAUUAUUUUGUGAAAAAUAUUUUAGGUGAGGGAUUCACUAUAGGGUCAGGGAAGGUGAUGAUUCCUCAUCAAAUGAUUUAUUUUAAAAUUUUAUCGUGUCAUUUCUUCUUUUGUCAUGCUAUGUUUUGUGUCAUUAUAUUUAAUAUUUAUGUUUCUUCCCUCACUAGAACAUUCGAUAGGUGUUUUGAGUCUCUUUGGGUAUAGAUCAUGGGACUAAGCCAACAAAAGACAUCUUUAUAGAAGUUAUAAAAGCAAGUAGGAUCAAGUACGAUGAAAAUUUUGAAGUUCAAGAAACUUUGGAAUUCUGUCUCAAAUCCCAACCUCAUAUCAAGGAUUAAAAACACAUGAAGAUUGAAGAAAAUAGUGAAAAAUGCAAUAGUUCUAUGUGCACCAUGCAUUAUGAAGAAAAAAGGUACACACCCUCCGCACAAGGUCCUCACGUUGGAAAUGGUAGUUGAACCCGUGCCUUCUAAGUGAUCGAGCUUAGUGUGCAUAUUGCUGUCGUGAGUGGCCUUGCCUCACUGUGUCGUCUAGGUCGCUCUGAUACGUAACAGGAUGGGGUUUAUGAUAUGCAUGCUUCAUUCUCUUACGUGAACAAUUAUGUUAUUUAUGUUAUUGAUUAACUCUCUUUUAAGAUAUUUUGAUGGGGCCUACGUGGCAAAACGAUUUUAUGGAUUUCGAUUGAAUUUCCGCUGCAUUGUUUACGAUAUUUUGUUGAAAGUUAAAUUGUUAUUUAAUUGAUUUUUGGAUUAUGUUUGAAUGUGAUAUCCCGUUUAUGAUGUUUACUCUGAUAAUUGCUUAGAAAUUUUC
rnacentral:lncRNA from 1 species